CGUGUAGGCGGGAAGGAUAGUCAGAUGUGAAAUCCCCAGGCUCAACCUGGGAACUGCAUUUGAAACUCCCUUUCUUGAGUAUCGGAGAGGAAAGCGGAAUUCCUGGUGUAGAGGUGAAAUUCGUAGAUAUCAGGAGGAACACCAGUGGCGAAGGCGGCUUUCUGGACGGUAACUGACGCUGAGACGCGAAAGCGUGGGGAGCAAACA
rnacentral:rRNA from 1 species